rnacentral:lncRNA from 1 species
AAUUGCCUGCAGCUGUGUCCCUUAGUACUUUAUGGGCCCCAGGCCUCAGGUUUUCUGUUAAUCUCUGUAUUUAGCCUACAGCUGUUUGGAUCACUGGUGGGUUCAGCAGAAGGAGCAGAUGCAAUAACUCAUGAGCUCAGGAGAAACCAGGUCAAGGAAGAGGAGGAUCUGAAGUGGGGACUGAGACCAAAAGAGCAGCCUUCAAAUGUUCUGUGGGAGCCACAGGAUCCCCUUUACUGGUUCAGCAUUAGGUUCCUCUUCUGUCUGCAUCCACCCUUCCUGAGGCUACUGCUCUUGGUGCCUGUAGUGGCGAUGAAAUCCUCCGUGCAUUAUUUUCUGCAGUUCCACCAGCACCUGAGGCAGACCCUGCCCCCCCAUACCCUCAGAGCUGGGGGGCUCCAUGGGACUGGGCCCUGCGUGGAGGGCUCAGGGCACCUCUCUGCAGCAAAACAGGUAGGGUUUGUGUGUCCUGAAUUUAGAGCAUCAGAGCCUAGAGGUCUUCAGC